AUCCAGCCAUGCCGCGUGUGUGAAGAAGGUCUUCGGAUUGUAAAGCACUUUAAGUUGGGAGGAAGGGCAGUUACCUAAUACGUGAUUGUUUUGACGUUACCGACAGAAUAAGCACCGGCUAACUCUGUGCCAGCAGCCGCGGUAAUACAGAGGGUGCAAGCGUUAAUCGGAAUUACUGGGCGUAAAGCGCGCGUAGGUGGUUCGUUAAGUUGGAUGUGAAAUCCCCGGGCUCAACCUGGGAACUGCAUUCAAAACUGUCGAGCUAGAGUAUGGUAGAGGGUGGUGGAAUUUCCUGUGUAGCGGUGAAAUGCGUAGAUAUAGGAAGGAACACCAGUGGCGAAGGCGACCACCUGGACUGAUACUGACACUGAGGUGCGAAAGCGUGGGGAGCAAACAGGAUUAGAUACCCUG
rnacentral:rRNA from 1 species